rnacentral:misc_RNA from 1 species
UAAAUCAAAGGAGGCUCCUGCCAAGGAUAUUCUCAAAGAUCUGGUGGAAAUGUGCCGUAGCAUACAACAUCCAUUACGUGGUCUCUUCCUAAGGAGUUACCUUUCACAAGUCAGUAGGGAUAAAUUGCCUGAUAUAGGAUCUGAAUAUGAAGGGGAUGCUGACACUGUCAUGGAUGCAGUAGAAUUCGUGCUCCAAAAUUUCACAGAAAUGAACAAACUUUGGGUGCGAAUGCAACAUCAGGGACAUGCACGGGAAAAGGAAAAACGUGAAAAAGAAAGGAGCGAGCUUCGCGAUCUUGUGGGGAAGAACCUGCAUGUUCUAGGUCAAAUUGAGGGCAUUGACCUUGAUUUGUACAAAGAUAUGGUGCUUCCAAGAGUUUUAGAGCAGGUUGUCAAUUGUAAAGAUGAGAUUGCACAGGGAUAUUUGAUGGAUUGCAUCAUUCAAGUCUUCCCUGAUGAGUACCACUUACAAACUCUUGAAACAUUACUUGGUGCUUGCCCCCAGUUUCAGCCAUCUGUUGAUAUCAAGA